rnacentral:rRNA from 1 species
GACGAACGCUGGCGGCGUGCUUAACACGUGCAAGUCGAACGGUGAAGCGCCUUCCUUUUUGGUGGGUGUGGAUGAGUGGCGAACGGGUGAGUAACACGUGAGUAACCUGCCCCCUUCUUCUGGAUAACCGCAUGAAAGUGUGACUAAUACGGGAUAUUCUGAGUCUGUCGCAUGAUGGGUCUGGGAAAGAUAUUGUUUCGGUGGGGGAUGGGCUCGCGGCCUAUCAGCUUGUUGGUGGGGUGAUGGCCUACCAAGGCGGUGACGGGUAGCCGGCCUGAGAGGGUGGACGGUCACACUGGGACUGAGACACGACCCAGACUCCUACGGGAGGCAGCAGUGGGGAAUAUUGCACAAUGGGCGCAAGCCUGAUGCAGCGACGCCGCGUGAGGGAUGGAGGCCUGCGGGUUGUGAACCUCUUUCGCCAGUGAAGCAGGCCUGCCUCGUUUGUGGGUGGGUUGACGGUAGCUGGAUAAGAAGCGCCGGCUAACUACGUG